CGCGAUAAGGGAGUUCCCUCGGAGGGGUGGGGGGGUUUUUUUCGCUCGGAGGGAGGGCUCGCGCUGUCGAUCCCAAGGAUCGUCGGCGGUGGCGACGGCCGGGCGGCGGCGCCGCGCGGGUCGGCCGGCUUGGGAGGCGACGGGGCGGUGGCCAUGUCCUAGGGUCGUCGCGGAGGGAGGCAGUUCGUCGGCGAGGGUGGUCGCCGCGGGGGGAGGGACCUCGUCCGCGAGGACGGGUCGUUGCGACGGCGGGCCUCGAUGCGGCCGCUGGUCAGGCAUCCGUCCCGUAGUUGUAACAGUUAACCUCCCCGAACCUUGACGAAGCCUUAGGUGUCAUCUCGUUUGUGCUUCCUAUUACCGAGUAGCACCUGUGGAUCUACCUGAUUACGCGGCACCACGUAAGAGACCUCGGCCGGAGAGACCGGCGGUCGGAAACCUCGGAAGAGGACGGUGGUAUGACCUCUAGGACCUUUUGUUCGAACGGCACGUCUGGCGUCUCCGUCUUUUUGAAUAGGCUCUUUUAGUCGCUAACCGUCUAUCGGUACGUCGGAACUCUUUCCUAUAAUAACUGUGACUCUGUCUUUACGUUUACUAAGCGUGGGUGGAUCCACUACAGGUCCAUCUCUGACUAUACGUGUACUCUCUAAACCACCUCUCUUAGUCUAAUUACCUCCGUCUGUAUGUCCGACCACUGCGUCACUUCUUCCUUGAAGUGGUUCACGUAUACCUCCGUUUCGCUGAAUAAUGACUUUCCGUCUACGAAUGAUUACUGAAUCUCCGAUGCUGAUUUCUUGAUGUCUUCAUGAGACCACUGUUAUCAUUGGAAUGACUUAACCAACGCCUCGAUCUACCAGAUGCCUUUCUCGUAGUGUCAGAUUCUAGACGGAAGCUCAUACUCUUUUUGUGUUUGUAGUUCGUUCAACUCGUCUACGCCUGGUACCUUUACUUGAACUAUUGGUACUGAUUUCUCCGCCUGUUCAAUGCUCGACUAAACCGUUUACGACGUUUGUCUCGUGUACGUCGUGUCCAAUGUGGAGGUGUCGGACCCUGUCCUGUUCGACGUCGCCGAAGUCGUCGGUGUUUAGGUAUACGUUCACGUAUAUGGUCAGUGGGGAGACGUAUAGUCGUUCCUUGAAGGGUUCGGCGCCGUAUGGUCGUUCCUUGAGGGGUUAGGCGCCGUAUGGUCGUUCCUUGGGGGGUUAGGCGCCGUAUGGUCGUUCCUCGGGGGGUUAGGCGCCGUAUGGUCGUUCCUCGGGGGGUUAGACGCCGUAUGGUCGUUCCUCGGGGGGUUCGACCUCGUAUAGUCGUUCCUCGGGGGGUUCGACCUCGUAUAGUCGUUCCUCGGGGGGUUCGACCUCGUAUAGUUGUUCCCUGUAUGCCAAUGGGUUGUCGGAUACUAAGACGGUGGCGAAUGGUCGACGUACGAUUACGCAUACGAUCGAUAAGACCGAUAGGUCAACGUCCGAUACGUGUUGGGUCGAUAGGACCGUGCAUGCGACGUGGAGUCGUCGUGGGUCAUCGGUCACCGCGCCGAUGACUAUGGUGUUCGCGCAUGCCACGGCGACCGUCGUGCCCUAUAGGACGACGUGGCCAAGUCCGUUCGUCGCCCCGACGAUUGCGCCCCGUUCGCCGCGGCGGUCGAAGAAUAGGACGUUGUAUACUGGGUUGGUUUCGUCGGGUCUCCACUUUAGGCCCCAACAUUGGACUUCUACCGGACACACGGACGUUUAAAAUAGUUUUUUUAAGAGUCCGGAGAAUAAAGGAAGUACAUGUAAGUAAGUGAGUGACAUCGAAAUACGUGUGGUACUCGGCGACUCUCAGCGUCGAAUACCAGACUCAGAACUUAACUAAACAUAGAGAACAAAACGAACUACCAACUUAACUAUCCGCGUCGACAACCAAUUAUAGUC
rnacentral:rRNA from 1 species